rnacentral:rRNA from 1 species
UCUGGUAAUUGGAAUGAGUACAAUCUAAAUCCCUUAACGAGGAUCAAUUGGAGGGCAAGUCUGAUGCCAGCAGCCGCGGUAAUUCCAGCUCCAAUAGCGUAUAUUUAAGUUGUUGCAGUUAAAAAGCUCGUAGUUGGAUUUCGGGUGGGCGCUACCGGUCCGACGAUUCGGUGUGCACUGGUCGAGCCCAUUUUGCUGCCGGGGACAGGCUGAUGGGCUUAACUGUCUGGCACCUGGAGUCGGCGAGGUUACUUUGAGUAAAUUAGAGUGUUCAAAGCAGGCCUACGCUCUGAAUACAUUAGCAUGGAAUAACACGAUAGGACUCUGGCCUAUCUCGUUGGUCUGUGGGACCGGAGUAAUGAUUAAGAGGGACAGUCGGGGGCAUUCGUAUUUCAUUGUCAGAGGUGAAAUUCUUGGAUUUAUGAAA